GGCCAUAAAAUGUUGAAACACAGGUUCUUUUCUGAUCACCAAGGUUAAGCAUCAUUGAGCUUGAACAGUACCUAGAUGAGUGACUGCUUCAGAAUACCAGGUGUUGUAAG